UGGUGCGCAGGAGGCUUGCAGCCUCAGUCUGAUUCUGUCUCUGACCCUUUGCAAACCUCAGUCCCCUUUGAUUGUCAGCCAGCACUCCUCUGGUCUGUUUAGGCCUUUCUUUUGUUUUUUUUUGGCUGCCCAUGACUGACCCAAGCCCCUACACACCUUGGCAUACUAGAAAUUCAGACUCGAAACAGAUGGCACAAGGGACAGAGUGGCAGGCAACAUCAAGCAUCUCCCAAAUUGACGAGACCUCCUGAGUCCUGCACAGAUGCGCCCUCCACCUCGCUCGCCUCAUUUCACCUUGCCCGGCAACCUUCACCGUCCCACCUUUCAGCCUAUAGCGGGGAGCCUGUGCCUAUCCUGCACCGUGUGCUGAGGUGGAGACAAGGAGAUGGAUGACUGAGCUUGCGGCUACACACAUAGAACGUGUCCUUUUCAGAUGUGUGAAGGUGAUGCUAUAAUGAUGAGGCACACACAGAUGCAGGACACUGUGUGCACGCCGAUGUAUGAUUUCAGUCUUUCUUUGGCUUUUGCAAAGGUGAUAUACAAUAAAAAUUUCUGAAAUCAACAACGUAAA